rnacentral:rRNA from 1 species
UACGGAGGGUGCGAGCGUUAAUCGGAAUUACUGGGCGUAAAGAGUGCGUAGGUGGUUUGGUAAGUUAACUGUAAAAGCCCUGGGCUCAACCUGGGAAAGCCAGUUAAGACUGUCAGACUAGAGUAUAGGAGAGGGUAGUGGAAUUUCCGGUGUAGCGGUGAAAUGCGUAGAGAUCGGAAGGAACACCAGUGGCGAAGGCGGCUACCUGGCCAGAUACUGACACUGAGGCACGAAAGCGUGGGGAGCAAACAGG